AAAUAAAUAUCUUUUAUUCAUGCAGGUAAAAACAGGGCCAUUUUCAGAGCAUUCUAACCAGCUAUGGAAUAUAAGUGGAGUUCCAACAUGGGACAAAGUCAAUUCUGGUCUGAUAAAAAUGUACAAAAAAGAGGUACUAGGAAAAUUUCCAGUUAUCCAGCAUGUUUUAUUUGGAAAUAUUCUUCCAAUUAAAAAAGAUGAACUUAUAAAAUGAACUCAUCUAACUGAUGCUGUAUUUUUCUGUUUUAAAUGGAUGUAAAUAAUUCUAAUUUAUGAAUUUUAUUAUAAGUAUUGAAAUGCAAUUGUAUGAAUCUUAUAUUUGUGGCACUAUUUAUUACUAAACUUUGUACUGUCUUCCAUGAAUUAUAUCUCAUUAUGCCAGUUAAAUAGUUUGUUUUUUUUUAAGAAUUAAUUUCAUAUCUCAUAUUAUUUUAUUUGCAUCUUUUGAAUUGUCUUAUAUAAUUUGUAAUUAUGUUAGUUUAAAUAAAAUUGACUGCAAGUUAUUCAUCCAAUUUAUUAUCCACCACUAAAAGGUGUUUCACUGGCAUUUCUUUGUCUUUCAUUAUUUCUCACAUCACUGUUCAGCCUGUAUCUUUUAAAAUCUACCUUCUAUUAUAUUGUAAUUAUAUUAACUUAAAUAAAAUUGGCUGCAAAUUUGUCCAACCAAUUUAUUUACAUUUUUACAGGGUGUUAAAACAUAACUUGAAUGCAGCUAUUCUAAUUAUCCUGGCCUAAUAUUGUUUCAAAUGAUGAAUUCUUCAAAAAUCUAUGUGCAUGUUCUAAGUUUAUGAACAGUAAUACACAACUUAACAGUUAAAACAUAACUUAAAUGCAGCUAUUCUUAAUAUCCU